UUGUUAUUUGUGUAUCUUAUCGCUAUGAUAAUAAAGUUCAUAUUCGCUUGUAACGAAGUGAUCUUAAGAAUGAGUAAGUAUCUUGGUAUUUAAAUUAAGGAGUCGAAUUAUUCCAAUCUUUGUAUCUGGAAUGGAUAUUUUUUUUUUGUUUAGUGUCUUUCUCUCGGCAGUCGGUAAUUUUGUGUGGUCGGCACACUCCAAUAUGGCCUUCUUGGUCUGUAAUACUAUGCAUAAUUUAUUUUUAACUCUCUCAUUGUCUUUUAAGUACGAUUUUUUGACAUUUCUUCGUUCUAGACUAUUAUUUUGGAAAUCGACACAGUUUAUAUCUAUUUAAGACCAUUUCACACUUUUCGUAUACCUGGCAACACCUGUGUGUCUUUAAUUUUAAUCUGUUGUAGUUUUCGUGUUGACUAUAUUUCUGUUUAUUUAUUUUUUGUUGUCAUAAAUCUGUUGACUAACGAAAAAGCUACUCAUUUUAAUGUAUUGUUAUUGAUUUUAAUUUCGACUUCGACUUGUUGCUAUUUAAACGGAAAAAUAUCCAUUUUAGGUUCAAUAUUGUAAGGCUUGAGUCAUGAGUUUAAUACAUACAAAAAAAAAAAAAAGAGGGGACAUAAUAUUAGCAUUGUAAUGGAAUAUAUUUAUUAAAUGUUUUCUUAAGCUUAAUUAAUUUAAAAUAUUUGGUUAAUUUUUUUUUUUUUUUGUAUCUGUCGAACUUUGAUUCAAACAAGACUGCUAGAAUGUAAAGAGGAGCAAAACGAAAAAAAAAAAUAAUACAAAAAAAAAUGUAUUUUAAACCCAAUAUUUUGUAUUUUCUUACUAUUUGUCAUCCCCACUUUUGGUGAUUAUUUUUUUGUUUUAUCUGUUGAGAUAGAAAUAAUAUUCAUAUUUAUUUGUAGUAAAAAAAAAAUACUAUAAUUGUUGGUUUUUUUUUCUUUUGGUUUAUAUGUAUCAACGGAUAAAAUGAACAAUAUUGUCAUUGAAUUUUAUAAAAAAAAGAAACCUAGUCGUAAGUAUUUCCAAGUAACUAUUAAGUUUAUUUAGUUUUAUUACUUUAAAAAAUAAAGUACAGUAUCAUAUGAAAUUAUUUUUUCACCUGGCAAUUAUUUUGUCUUAGAAUUUGAUUGAUUUUCAUUUUUGUUCUGUAUUUUUUUUUAAGUUACAAAUUACAGUCCUGAGUGAAUACUGUUGCAGAAUAUUAAAAGUCAAUUUUAUUAACAAAAACAGAUAAAUCAUAUAUAUUAUAGAUUUCCCUGUAAAAUUGUUUUAAUUUAGAACUCUACAAUCCACGAGUCGAACUCCUAGGGAACAAAAUACUAACACCUCAUUGGUCGAUGCGCGCGGCCAAUGAUAAGCGAGACGAAACUAGUGUGUAAAAUAUUAUAACCAAUGGGCGCAAGGCAAUUUCCUUUGGGAGGUCGUUUCGUGGAAUAUAACUGAAGAUGAAAUAUUUGAUGAUAAAAACUUGAAUUUGAAACGCCAUGAUCGCUGAUCCGUUUUAGUUUUUUCUUUAACACGAACACGAAACUCUUGAAAUUUGUAUUCUUAUUAGUAAAUAUAUAAUUGUUUCGAUAUUUUUUUAGUUGGCAACAUUUGCAUUUUGUACUGAUUUGUAAGUAAUAUGAAAAAUAAAGUAAUAAAUUCGAAAAUCUUUGUUAUUAAAUACUUUCUCGUAUCUGAAACUUAUAUUGAUAGCGAACUGGGUAAGUUCAUGGAACGUGUGUCGUCGGCUUUAGCUUUUUGUCGUUCGAUAUUUCGAGCGAUCACAAGUCUAUAUAUAACGACGCGUUACUAAAUCGGAGCACAGAAUGGCGCCUCGUAUUAACGUAUAUGAUCAAAGACAAUUUGGUAAUUGAAGAACACUGAUAAAAUAUCGAUUUAAACUUGUUUCAAUUGGACUGCCACAAUGAUUUUCAUGAUACACAUACGAAUACAUGGAAUACAUUAACUCUGUUUAAAAUGUCGAAUUGACAGAGGUGGACAUUAUGGCGUUCGAUUUUUGAAGUUUAAUCCAUAGAUAAUACACUUAUAUUAGUUAGUUUAAUCAAAAUAAAACUUAACUGACAUAGCGUUGCAUAUCGAUAGUUAAGGUGUAACCGAUGGUAUUGAUGGUCUCGAUAAUAUUGUGACGUGUCAAUGAUAUCGAUAUUAUUGAUCAAAACGAUAGUAUCGAUAUCCUGAAUAGUUUUCGAGGUCAACUAUCGAUAGUUAAACGAUAGUUCUGCAACACUGACUGACAUUUUUGAUAGGAUGUAUAGAUUAAAUUGCCAUAUUUCGUUCAAAAAUGUCACGAAAUUUUAGACUUAAUUAUAAAAUCAAAUGUUAAAUUAAUUACAAGUUUCUAUCGUCAGCUAUUUCUGCUAAAAUUUCAAUCCCUAACAUAUAAUGGUUACAAUCAUGGAGUGUUGAGAAACGUAUCUUCGUGUAUAAAAACUGGCCCUCAAAAAUGUAUGAAAUUUGCGCUAAUGUUAGUUUGACAUUUUGACGGACACAUUCUACUACACUAAGUUACGUUUCCUCGCAUACAAACUGCAUUUUAAACUUUAAAAAUAUUAAUUAUUAAUCAAGGCGUAAAAUAAAUCAACAUUCUUUCGUUAUUAGUGAGAAUCUUCAAUUUCAGAGGUUUAGAUUCCAUAAAAUUUUAAUCUAAUAUUAUCAUAAUUAAUUUCCCGCCCAAAUGUUCCUGUAACUGUCACAGAUUUUUUUUAUAAUCUGUGCUAUGUAUAACCAUACGCUCAAAAUACUUCGUGUUAUGUUAUUUUAGUUAAAUAAUUCUAUUGCCAUUGGUUUAUAAUUUAUAUAUAUAUAUAUAUAUAUAUUGUCUGUCAUAAUCGCUAGCUUUAAGAGCUUUAAAAUAAAUUAAUACGCAUUUUA